GACAAACGCUGGCGGCAUGCCUAACACAUGCAAGUCGAACGGACAGAACAGGGAAGCUUUUCGGAGUGGAACUGGAAAGUUAGUGGCGGAUGGGUGAGUAACGCGUGGACAACCUACCUUGUAAAGGGGAAUAACCUCGAGAAAUCGAAGCUAAUACCCCAUAAUAACCUUGCUUCGCAUGAAGUAAGGAGGAAAGGCGGCCUUAGCGCUGUCGAUACAAGAUGGGUCCGCGUCUGAUUAGCUAGUUGGUGAGGUAAAGGCUCACCAAGGCGACGAUCAGGAGCCGGCCUGAGAGGGUGAACGGCCACAUUGGAACUGAGCCACGGCCCAAACUCCUACGGGAGGCAGCAGUGGGGAAUCUUCCGCAAUGGGCGAAAGCCUGACGGAGCAAUGCCGCGUGAGUGAAGAAGGCCUUCGGGUUGUAAAACUCUGUCCUUAUCGAAGAGAGAGUGUUGUAGUAACUGACAAUACUAGGACGGUAGAUGAGGAGGAAGCCCCGGCUAACUAUGUG
rnacentral:rRNA from 1 species